rnacentral:lncRNA from 1 species
AUAAUGUAUGAUAGUGAUCCCCACAUCUGUUUGCUUUCUUUAAGGGUGUCCCAAUGGCUGAAGAAAAGCCCAAGUAUAACUGCACUGUCAGUGAAGUCACCAUUGUGAACCUGCAGCCUGAGAAAAAUCCCAUUCUCAUCUUGCCAGGAGGGAAGCCAGGAAGUGAACAUAGAAACCUUGGUUUCCAUCCUCCUUCUCCAAGGGUUUCAGAAAAGAGGCUAUCCCAGGGAGAUAAAAAACUGUGGCCAGAAAAGGUGAAAAAAGAAGGGGCUUUGUCUCCCAGCCUGCAUCGUGCAAGUGAGUUUUGUAGCACAGAGAACAUGACCUUGAAGAGGCCAGUGAAGUUGGCCCCUCUGGAGAUCCCUUUGGAAGUAAAAGAAGCCCAGCUCCAAAAGAUUAUGAGCAUCCAGAGAGAAGCCCAAAUGGCUGCUCAGAAGCUGGCGGUUACCAACUCCAUCAGCAAUGAACCCCAUGUGAAAAGGGUAAAGAAUCUGGCUCAGGGGGAGCUGGAAAACCUUCAAAAGAUAAAGAUGAGUGAGAAGGCUGUUCUGGAGAAUAAAGAUGAUCCUCUACUCCCUAAAAGCAACAAACCCCUGGGAGAAAUUCAAAUUAUUUUGCCUCCAGAGACCCCUAAAUUGUCUAAACAACUAGGUGUCGAAGAAGCUCCCAAGACACUCCGUAAACCAUUAAUCCCAACUCUCCAGGUAUCUGAGGUGCCUGAAGAGUCUAAUAGCCCUGACAGCAUCCCUGAUCAUUCCCAGAAUGUUUCUCGGCGCCGAUUCAGACUAAGGCACAUGAAAGAGCAGCAUGAAGACCAUGGGAAAGCCAAACCCUUAAAGGUCAUGGAUCCAAGUGGGGGAGAAGGCAAGCAGUACUCUGCAGGUCAAAGAACCCAAAAAACCCUCAGUGAUGCAAGCAAGCUCAUUGAAAAUGUGGCCAAAAAGCAGAAGGAACGGGGAGCGAAGCAAGGCGACAUGGAUGAAGCCUCUUUUGUGAGAAGGCAGUCUACUCGAAGGAUGGCUUUGGGAGACAUCAUCCAAGUGGAUGAAGACUGAGUAUCAUGCACCGUGUAAUGCACAGGAGAUUUAGACACAGUGGUUAUCCAGUAAAAUGUUUUAGACUGACUGCUUAGAUAGAAGUCUUCAGAAGGGUCUCUGAAGACAUUAGUAGAUCACAAAGUGAAAAUAAUAUUGUUGGAUACCUCUGUCAUUUCUGAGAUGCUCAAACAAGUGGGUCACGGGGCUAAUAUUCUCUGAUGCUGUUCAACAGUAGAAAGGCUACUGUCCUGAGUCCUGAGUCCAGCAGGGAGUACAACUUUUCAAGACACAUGUGGAUCACCCAGGAAAAUCUGGAUGUGCGCUGAGUAGAGGGACCAAGAGGAAAACAGGAAC